CGUAGGGUGCGAGCGUUAAUCGGAAUUACUGGGCGUAAAGUGUGCGCAGGUGGCCGCGCAAGUCGAGUGUGAAAUCCCCGAGCUUAACUUGGGAAUUGCGCUCGAAACUACGUGGCUCGAGUGUGGCAGAGGAAGGUGGAAUUCCACGUGUAGCGGUGAAAUGCGUAGAGAUGUGGAGGAACACCGAUGGCGAAGGCAGCCUUCUGGGCCAACACUGACGCUCAUGCACGAAAGCGUGGGGAGCAAACAGGAUUAGAUACCCUGGUAGUCCACGCCCUAAACGAUGAUGACUAAUUGUUGGGGGAGUUAAAUCCCUUAGUAACGCAGCUAACGCGUGAAGUCAUCCGCCUGGGGAGUACGGUCGCAAGAUUA
rnacentral:rRNA from 1 species